AAGCCAGCCAGGAAGGAGGAGGCAGCCAGAGUGUUCUCUGCAGCAGAAGACCCCUUGCUGCACUGCUCAACCCAGACCAGCAUUUGCCAGGUUCUAUUGUUAUUGUAACCGCUGUCGAUUGACCAUCUUGCUCCCUAGUGAUCAGUUGAUGCUUCUUCAGUGGCACUAAUGUCUGGAAGAUGUUUUUCCUAGGAAAGUUGGAGAUUUUCCAGGCCUUUGUCCCAGCACCCCCACCCCCAAAAUCUGAAGACUGAAGAAGAAGAUUGAAGAAGAAAGAGUAGACUCAGAGACCAGACCACAGAAGUGGACAACUGGACACACCAUGUGGGUGAAGCCCUAGACUGAGUGGCAGCUUUUGUUUGCUGAAAUGGGCUCACAUUUUCUUCAAUGUCUCAAAAAGGCACCUGCAUAGAGAUACUGCAUGCAAGGAUUCAAUUGCAAGAAAACAUGGGUUCCUUAGCCAACAAAUCAAGCUGGAAAGUAUUCCCCCAGGACACGAAGACUGAAAAGCAACGGCUAUGAAGGUAUACCAGUCACUUUGCUUCUUUGCCUGUGCUUCAGAAAUCAGUAGUCAUCAGUACACCAAGGCUUCGGUCUUUAAACU